GGGCAACAGAUCUCUUGUGACAGAGUCAUAGAUGGCUGUGAGCCACCAUGUGGAAGCUGGACAUUGAAGCUGGGUUCUCUCUAAGAGCAACAAGUGUUCGGAAGAGCUGAGCCACCUCUCUAGCCUCCUGGGUGGUUUUUAUGGCGUAAAGGGAACCCUAAGGGAAGAUAUUAAGGGGAGCUUUGUGUGUAACACUAAGCCUUUGCCUGUGAGCUCGGCAUGUGACCGCUGCCCCCAAUUUACUGUUCAUCUUUUAUCUUCUCAUGCCCAACUACAAUGUGGUUUAUUACACAGAUUCUCAUUGAAUAAGCAAACUCCCGAAGGUGGGCUGGUGAGAUAAGGAGAGAUCCUCAGGAGAGCGUUGUGUGUAAUAACAACAUUUAACCUUGCCUGUGGGCACAGCAUGGAAUUCUUCUCCCUGGCUUAUUGUUCAUCUUUUGUCCUUUUGUGUCCAGAUACAACAUGUUUAUUGUACAAACUCUCAGAAGCAGAGUGAACUCUGUGUGUUCCAAGGUUGACUUAAACCACUGAACUAACAGAGGGCCAAUCACAGGGUACUGUUGUGAACAUCGUACACAAAGGCAUUGUUCUUCUCUUCGAUAGUUCCCAAACCACACAGGAGAAGAAAACAGUGUAAAACCCAGCUUAAAAAAGACAAUCAAGGUUCUCCUGUGGAGAAGGGCAGGGAACAAGAGCCUAUAAAUUAAGUAUGUG
rnacentral:lncRNA from 1 species